UACGGGGGGGGGCAAGCGUUGUUCGGAAUUACUGGGCGUAAAGGGCUCGUAGGCGGCCAACUAAGUCAGACGUGAAAUCCCUCGGCUUAACCGGGGAACUGCGUCUGAUACUGGAUGGCUUGAGUGUGGGAGAGGGAUGCGGAAUUCCAGGUGUAGCGGUGAAAUGCGUAGAUAUCUGGAGGAACACCGGUGGCGAAGGCGGCAUCCUGGACCAUUACUGACGCUGAGGAGCGAAAGCCAGGGGAGCAAACGGG
rnacentral:rRNA from 1 species